CAUUGGUUUUGUAUUCCACGACGAUCGUUGGACGGGCACCGGCCGAGGACUUCGAUCAAGGCGAGGCCCGUGGGAGCGACAGAAGGAGAGGCAGAAGAAGAAGAAGAAACAGCGGCUGAUCGUGACAAGACGCGAUCGUGAGCGACGCGUCCGACGCUAAGAAGUGCGCGUAUAUAGCAGGACCUCUCUCAGCAGCCUGGUUAUGCGUCGAGAGGAAGAGCCUCUCGCGUUUCACGACGACGACGACGACGGCAGCAGCGGAUUCCACGAUCUACCGCGGCGCGUUGACGCCUCUGCGGGCAUCAAAGCCACGCGUUCAGACGCGCGUCCCUGUCACCAAUCGGUGUUUUCUAUCGACGGAUAUCGAGCUCCUAACAGGGCCACUCGGACGAUUCCGCGCGUAGAAGCGUUGAUCGCCGCGGCAAGUGGAGAAGGUGACAAGACACCGGAAGCUCGACUAGCCGAACAAACUCAACACUCCACCGUGGAUAUCGUUCCGACUCCGUUGCAAACGAAGCGAUCACGCGAGCGCAUCACUAUGGCGAUUUUCGAGCGACUAGAUCGCACGAUUCGAAUCCCGCGAAUCCGUCGCUUUCAAGCCGUCAUCGAUGGAGCGACACCGCCGUCGUCAACUCCACCGCGUCGAAAGGAGACGAAAACGCGCGUAUCCGGUGCGGGUUUAAGGUCAACGCACGCACGCAUGCAAGCUCGCAGGCAGGCAGGCAAGCAGCACGCAUCGUGCUUCGUCCGUCGCUACCGACGAGGAGAGAACCAGCACGGCCGGGCGCGCGACGCAACGUAGACCGCGCGCGCGAGAGCCACGAUAACGGUGUCGCGGUGUCAAAUUCGCGCGACAUUCCAUCGCUGUCACCGGCGCUUUGUCAAACACGCUCUGUAUAUCACCGCGCCUCGUAAUCCGCACUUAUUACUAAUGACCAGCGGAGCCGGAGGAUACGAUAUUUACUGUUAGGCGACACGAUUCGAGCGCUGCGAAAUGAGACCGAGCCCGUUACUCGCGUUAUGCAAACGCGCUUCGAUACGAACACGGCAAAAUCACGGGGAAUAGAGUUAGCGUCGUAGAGAAAGAUAGAAAGAUAGAAAGAGAAAGAGAGAGACGGAGAGGGAGGAAGAGAAAUGACGUUGAAUGGUAAAUUCCGAGAGUCGAGCGCGGACAAUCGUGCCGUUGCCGUUGUUGCCUUCGUGAAACUUCGAAAAAAAAAGAUGACGGAGAAAGGAGUGCUCACCGAGAAUCGCCUGGAGGGUCUGCUCGUCCCCGUCCCCGAUGACGUCCAUGUCUCCGUGGUCGGUGCGCGUCGAAGCCCGUUGCCGUUGUUCCGGGCCCGAUCAACGGGCCCCAUUCCGCGCUCGAGCCGCGACGUUUCGCUCCGCGACGUCCCACAUAGCACGCGCGCGGAGACACGUCCUGCCGUAAUCCUCGCUGCUGCUCCUCGCCUCCUCCGUAGAUCCUCCCGCUCGCCGACGUAUCCUUGCGCCGCGCGCUCCUUUUACCUCACUUCCUAUCUCGCGCCUCCUCGCGCGCGAUCUACGGACGACUAGCGACUAAGGCGCCUACUACCGAGCGGUGCCGAUGGCUAUCUAUCGCGGCGAACUUCACGGCACCGUCGCGUUUCGCGCGGCUCCAGCAGAACGCGCUUCACACACGCUCGCUUCCGCUUCUUUCUCUUUCUCUCUUUCUCUUUCCUCUUCACUUCUCUGUCUCUGCGGGCGCGUAGAAACGUAGAUCGCUCUCGCCAGCGAGCUAGGUAGGCACGACUAUCCCGCGAGUGGCUCGAGUCACGAUAAUCCCGUGCCGCGGACUAAAUCCGAGCCUCGAUGCCGAUACCGCACACACGCUCGCUCGCGCUCAACAUUGAGUUAGCACUCGCGCUCGCGCGCCUCCACUCGUGCGUGUGCUCCACGGCGGAACGAGGAGAACGGGCCGUGAUCACGUGACCCAAUCCCGUUUGAAAUAUCGCGCGUUGGGUGCGCGCGAGCGGUGCGCGUGGGCAUCGCGCUUCCUCCUGAAAAAUUGAAUCGCGCGGGUGUUUGUUUCGUUGGUGGAGAAUACGUGCGAGACACGGCAUUUGUCUCGGUUCGCGAGGGACUGCGGAUGGACGUGUCGACGAGUCCUCGGAAUAAAGGUUUCGGCCUCGACAUUACCUGACUGAACGUGAGAACGCGAGGAUAUAGCAUUGUGUUUUCCGCGAAGACGAGCUGGUCAAUCGUACGUGUCGGGUUCCUGGACGACGUUGCGGUUACCGAGUUCCAACGCUCGGUUUUUCCGGCGAAGGAGAAAGCUAUCUCGAAAACUGCUCUGUCCUCGGUGAGUACUCUCUGCAUGAAGUACGCAAUGGCAUUUAUGGAAAAUUGUCAGAGGUUUUAUUUGUAUAUCGGGCACAUUGAUUGUUUAGUGCAAAACGCAACAGUGGCCAACUUUACGCUCACUUGGCAAACGAUGUGUCACUUUUUGCGUAUAAUUCCGUAAAAUUCUUAAAGCUGCAACUCCCCCUUUCACUCCGCCUUUCAUUUCGUGCGACUUUACAAGUGUAAUCUUCAGUUUGAGAAACAUUAGGAAGAGAAUAUCAUGAAUCUGAUACAUGCACGGAUACUAUAAACAUUUAUUACAUCACAUAAGUACAAUUGAACACCGAGGGGUUGCUAAAUUAUUAUUAUUACUAUUAUUAUUAUUAUCUUUAUUAUUAUUGUUGUAUUCAUCGUCGUCGUUUGUUGAUACAUCUUGCUAAGUCACUUGCGGCUUUGCGCAUUUAUAAAUAAUAUAUAUAUAUUUUUAUCUUACACAAAUACAUAUUCUCUUAAAUAUAUAUAUAUAUUUUUGUUUAUUCUCUCUGUACAAUGUAUCUAUGUACAUAGUAUAUGUGCAUACAUGUACAUACAUAUACAUAUAUACACACACCUGUGCAUACUCAUUUAUAUGUGUGCAUAUAUGUUGGUAUACACAUGCACGUGUAGGUGCAGUCGUAUAUACAUAUACUGCAUGUAUAUUUGUAUAUGUGUUUUUCCAGGCAUUUUACCAAUAAUUCAUUCAGUUACAAGCGAUGCGAAUUGUCUAGAUAUAUUGAAAGAUAUCCUGCUUUCCUUACAACAGAUACGUAACUGUUGUUCCAUUAUACAUCUGUUGCAUACACACAAAAACCAGAUACAGUUUGUCCUUAGCUGUUUUAGCUGUUCGAUUUUAAAUUUGAGUUUAUUGAAGGUAAGUCACUGCGGUCCACAAGCUGGACCGCAAGCACAACAAGCUAGUUGCUAGCAUCUUAAAAUGCGCACAACAUACACCACGGAUUUUAGGUGUUAUCCAAGUUUACACUAUUGGUGUUGAUUAUUAUCCUACUAACUAGGAAGUUGUAUCUGAGAAAUACUAGCAACCAAAUGAAUAAAUGUUUACUCGACCAAUAGAACGCUUGUGAUUGUGUAAUAAUUGUUUAUUGCCAUCCACAAAUUUACUUCAUGUUAACUCACUAAAGUGUGUAUAUAUGUGUGUGUGUGUGGAUGUUAGAUAUUAAUUUUCAAGGAAAGUAAUCAAAUUUAGAGUAUCCACCAAUAAUUGUACACAAAACGUUUGCGUUUUUGAGUUUAUACAAAUAUUUAUAUUAUAAUAUAUUCAAUCUUUUUUUCCAUAUAUAUUAAUCAAUAAUUGAAAUCAACGAAUUAAAUAUAUCUUUGUUCAUAAAAUACAAGGCAAGAAUUAUAUUAUAAAUUUUCAAUUGCCUUAUCGUGUACACUUUUUCCGAAUCAGGUGAAUAUACUUCUAACUGCUAUAAGAAGAUUCUGCUUUUCUUUUAUGUAUAUCGUUAAAUUGAUUUAUAAUCUAAAUAAUUAUUAUAUAUUGUACUACCCGUGUUCAGUCUUAGUUGAUGAAUUAAAUAAAAGUCGUAAAAAUCAUAGAGAUACUUCAAAAUCAAAUAGGAACUGGAAGUAGGACAGUAUCUAAUUAUUUCUCUGGGUCCCAUAAAUUAGUAAUUAUUUCAAAUGUUACUCGUCACAAUUUCACACAUUUAGCUAUAUGCCAUUAAAGAUAGUAAUUACGAUAACUUUAAUUCAUCAUGCACGUCGGCUUGGUAAAUUUUGUCACAUAUUUUACUCCGUCGUGACGCUACAAGCGAAGAAUCUCGCGUUCACCUUAUUAAAAUCGCGACACCGUUCUCAAUUACAUAUUUGUGUAUCUCAGAGAGUGUUCAUCAAGAUUUAUCUUAGCUAUUUUAUAGUACACACGAGGAAUGUACGGAGAUAAUCAGAUCUCAAGUCCAGUUACUGCUUUCUUUUCUUUUUUUUCUCUUUUUUUCUUUUUAAGUAGAAAUUUCACGAUACGUAGUCGCAAGUACGUUACCGCCACGUCCGGAGAUUAUUUUUAGCUUUUCAAUUUGUAAAAUAAUCUCCCCCGUUUCUCAAGUCGAGCGUACGUAUCGUACGAUUCAUAUCGCGUGUCACUAUAAAUGAAAUGAAAUUCCGUUGUUCGUUUAAACUAUUAUGUGAUGCAGUUUUAAAAAGCA